rnacentral:rRNA from 1 species
GGCGAACGCUGGCGGCAGGCUUAACACAUGCAAGUCGAACGGGCAUAGCAAUAUGUCAGUGGCAGACGGGUGAGUAACGCGUGGGAACGUACCUUUUGGUUCGGAACAACACAGGGAAACUUGUGCUAAUACCGGAUAAGCCCUUACGGGGAAAGAUUUAUCGCCGAAAGAUCGGCCCGCGUCUGAUUAGCUAGUUGGUAGGGUAAUGGCCUACCAAGGCGACGAUCAGUAGCUGGUCUGAGAGGAUGAUCAGCCACAUUGGGACUGAGACACGGCCCAAACUCCUACGGGAGGCAGCAGUGGGGAAUAUUGGACAAUGGGCGAAAGCCUGAUCCAGCCAUGCCGCGUGAGUGAUGAAGGCCCUAGGGUUGUAAAGCUCUUUUGUGCGGGAAGAUAAUGACGGUACCGCAAGAAUAAGCCCCGGCUAACUUCGUG